AAUUUUUUAUAAAGUUUUAUCUUAAUAAAAAGUGAAAUUAGAUUAUUAAAUGUAAAAUUUUAUUAAAUUUUAAUAUAAUGAAGCUUAAAAAAUUGAGGUAUGAAUUAGGAUUAGAUACCCUAGUACACUUUAAAUUAAUUGUAAAGGACUAGAAUACUAAAAGUUAUAUUCUUUAAAUUUAAAAAAUUUGGCGGUAUUUUAGUCUAGUUAGAGGAACCUGUUUUUUAAACGACAAUACACGCAUUAUCUUACUUAUUCUAGUAAUCAGUUUGUAUACCGUCAUUAUAAGAUAAUUUAAGAGAGAAUAUUAUUAAGAUCAAUAUUAUGUGAGUAUAUUAGAUCAAGGUGCAGCUAAUGAAUAAGAAAAAAUGGGUUACAAUAAAAAUUAUUUAUACGGAUUUAAUAUUUAAAUAUAUUAAUGAAGGCGGAUUUAAUUGUAAAAUAAAAUUAAUAGGUUUU
rnacentral:rRNA from 1 species